AUUGAACGCUGGCGGAAUGCUUUACACAUGCAAGUCGAACGGCAGCACGGACUUCGGUCUGGUGGCGAGUGGCGAACGGGUGAGUAAUAUAUCGGAACGUGCCCAGUCGUGGGGGAUAACGUAGUGAAAAUUACGCUAAUACCGCAUACGAUCUAUGGAUGAAAGCGGGGGACCUUUGGGCCUCGCGCGAUUGGAGCGGCCGAUAUCAGAUUAGGUAGUUGGUGGGGUAAAGGCUCACCAAGCCAACGAUCUGUAGCCGGUCUGAGAGGACGAACAGCCACACUGGGACUGAGACACGGCCCAGACUCCUGCGGGGGGCAGCAGUGGGGAAUUUUGGACAAUGGACGCAAGUCUGAUCCAGCCAUUCCGCGUGCAGGACGAAGGCCCUCGGGUUGUAAACUGCUCUUGUACAGAACGAAAAGGUUUCUACUAAUACUAGGAGCUCAUGACGGUACUGUAAGAAUAAGCACCGGCUAACUACGUGCCAGCAGCCGCCGUAA
rnacentral:rRNA from 1 species